GGAGCACAGAGGCUCUCUGCGUUCACUUUUUUGCCUGGGCUUCUAAGACCUGACUGGGAAGGCGCUCUGUGUCUUCACUCCUUCGGGAGACCGAGAGGGUGCCUGCGGCCUACGUGAACAGAGAAAGUCCCUUGUCUGAGGCUUUAUUGGGUUUCUGUGUAAACCAAGGUCACUGAUGCCAUCCCACUGAGGAUACCCUGGAUCCAACCGGGGCUUGACCCCGGUAGAGAACGAAUUGGCUUUUCUGGAGAUGGCCUGGGAUGUGGGAUAUUUAACCCAUCUGUGUUUUCAUCCGCAUCUGAUCAAACUCACCAAGGCAGAACGGACUCGAAAAGUUAAGGGAGAAACAGUCUUGGACCACGUGAUGUUCUGGUUCAGCCAUGCCAACUGGCAGGUGAAGACAUGAUGAUCCCCCUUCUCCCUCUGGGAUCUGGCAGAAUGGAAUUCUGGAACUGUUCUGCUUGCUCACAGGUCA
ensembl:lncRNA